CUUUACGCCUUCUAAUCGGCCGUGACAAUAGAUGUGACAGAACCACACAGCGGUUAAAUGGGUGAUUCAAGAUCCUCAUAAUACAAACCGGGAGACCGAUCGUUGAAUUCGAACUGGAGUUAUCUGUCAUUAGUGUGUAGUGAAGGCCGGGAGGCGGUUGUGCUUAUACCUCACUAUCAGACAAAAGCGUGCUUUUUUCGCUCUUCCGUGAUAUUGGGCCGUAAUUCAUUUUUAUAUUCAAAAUGGGAUUUUCGAAUUCACCAACGCAUUCAUCAUAAUAUUCUCGCUGACUUUGUGUACUCUUUGUACAUUUCUUGUAUCAUCUCCUAUUGACAAACUCUCUGGACGAUUAAGGAAGCUUCAACUGAUUAGGAACACCCCAAAAUGUGAUUUUUGUUGUUUUUCAAUUGCCUGAUGACUUAACAUGGAUGGAUUACAAUUUAUAAAUGGUGUUCUCCUAGUCUUGCUGAUCUCGGCGUUAUUGGCGAAGGCCCAGUUUCAUAACUAUCAAAGUGCUGCUGUCAUUCCUCCUUCCUUUAAUCCAACGAGGCGGAACGUCACAUAUCACGUGGGAGAAACAGCGUUGUUGGAGUGUUCGGUUGACAAUCUUGGAACCAAAGAGGUAAUUUGGAAAAACAGAAACCAGAAGCACGUGAUCACGGUGGGUUCGUUCGUGUUCGUGGGGAAUGGUGCAUACAGCGUCAGUCACCCUAGCAACAGUCCUCAUUACGACCUCGUGAUUAAAAACGUGCAGAGGCAUCACGCGGGAGUCUACGAGUGUCAAGUGAGCACACGUGAGGUGAUGAGCAUUGACAUCCAGCUAAAUGUUAUUGAUCCGCCUGCAAAUAAACAUAGAUACUCAUCACCGCCGACGGCUUCCAAACCAGCCCUCACACUAUCAGGGGCAGAAUUCGUAGACCAAGGGGAAGCAAUUCGUCUGUCCUGCAAUGCCACGGGGGUGCUUCACGCGCCCGAGGAUGUGGACUGGUUUUUCCAGGGACUUAAGAUUCAAAGUAGUGUUCAGGACGAAAUAAUCAUAACAAAAUUUCAUAGUCCAGAGACAAAGACUCUAAUUAGCACUCUAGAAAUUGAGAGGAGUAAGAUGAAACAUUCGGGAAUGUAUAUAUGCAGAAGCACCGAUCUGACCAUUAAGAGUCACAAUGUGCAAGUGAUCAAUGCAGCGAGUAAAAACAGAGAAAGAGCUGUGAAUGAGAAUGGAGGUAAUUCAUAAACAAAUCUCGACUGAAACAGGGGAAACAGAUGACAGAAGCGGGCGGCAGGCCGAGCAAAAAAACAAUAAUUGUUCAUUAUUAACGAUUCAUUUUCCUACAUUUGUGUUAUUAUCGACAUUAUCCUCCAUACUUGUAUAUCUACCAAGGUGAAACCGUGCAGACUCAUCUAAAAGGGAAAAAUUAUGAGAAAUUCCCCAUCCAGGUCUUUCAGUAAUGAAGAAACCUCUAUUUUGGAAUCCAGAUCGAGGUCGGCGAUAACUAAAACGAGGCUGCUAGUAUUGUGGCAAGGUUCAUCGCACAAUAUGUUCGAUAAAGGAACAUUAUUUCUGAUAGCAUGACCGAUGUUUUCAAGAAAUGAUUAAAAGCAGAAUACGACCCGUGGAAUGGACGAGCAGGAGCGUUCUCCGCUGUCUUGAUCAAAGUGUUAUUUUGUGAUAUUAAUACCAAACAUGAUUCAUUGUUCAUCUGAUAAACUCUCGUGCAAUAUUUCAUCCCUCAUUUUGUGUCAUUCAUUGAUAAAACUCUGCUCUAUGUAUCAUCUUUACAACUUUAAGUUAAAAAAAAAAUCUUCAAAAGUGUUGUUGGAGACUUGAGUUGUAAGAAAGACAACAAUCAUUCCAUAUGUAUAGUGACUUGAUUCUUUCUUUUUAUCGGUUGUUCUAUAUUUUGUAAACCAUGACUUGCUGACUUUGACAAAUUUGACUGACUGUUGUUUCUCUUCAGUCAUGUUUUCUGGGUUUUAUAUUUGGUAUACAUUUUUGUAGUUUGUUUAUAAAAUGUCCACGGACUCUUGCUUUUUUUCAGUUGUCACGGGUAAUCAUUUCUUUUCUCCAUUUAAACUAAUCAAUACGAGGCUAAUUUCUGACGAUUGUCAUGAAAAUGAAAUGAACGGUAUAUUGUUAAGUUUUUAUUUUCACUCGGCCAACUAGUUCUGAUGCAUUUUAAUAAUUAAUUGUAAAAACUUGGUAUAUAAAUUGUCUGCGAAUUUCCGAUAUGAUUUCAUUCUUCAAAUUCACCGCUACUGUCGAUAUCAGUAUUGUUUUGGUUUCUAUGGUUAAUUUACAUGUAUAUGUACCAUCUCAGUUGCAUUUAUAUGACAUUCUUCGUGUUCCUAUAAAUAUUUAUUGCAGCUUUGUUUUUAUUCUCUCGAUCCACGUUUUUUACGAGAAGAUACGUUUUUUGUUGUAUGGAGUUUGUAAUGUGAAUCUUGUGUUAUUGAUGAAAGAAUCAAAAAGUAGAUUUUAUGUGACAAUGUGGUGAAUAAAAUCAAGAAAACUUUCAAAAAAUAAU
rnacentral:misc_RNA from 1 species